UACGUAGGGUGCGAGCGUUGUCCGGAAUUAUUGGGCGUAAAGAGCUCGUAGGCGGUUUGUCGCGUCUGCUGUGAAAACGCGGGGCUCAACUCCGCGCCUGCAGUGGGUACGGGCAGACUAGAGUGCAGUAGGGGAGACUGGAAUUCCUGGUGUAGCGGUGGAAUGCGCAGAUAUCAGGAGGAACACCAGUGGCGAAGGCGGCUCACUGGUCCAUAACUGACGCUGAGGUGCGAAAGCGUGGGGAGCAAACAGG
rnacentral:rRNA from 1 species